GGAGGGCCAUAGCUCAGUGGUAGAGCAUUUGUCUUGCACAUAGAAGGUUCCAGGUUUCAUCCCUGGCAGCUCCA